AGCUCCAAUAGCGUAUAUUAAAGUUGUUGCAGUUAAAAGCUCGUAGUUGGAUUUCUGGUGCAUUCCACUGGCCUAUUGGUUAACUCCAACUUGGCUCAUUUGGAAUACGCCAUCUUUAGGCAGACCCGUCGUGGCAUUAGGUUGUCGUGAUGGUUACGCCUAUCGUUUACUGUGAAGAAAUUAGGGUGUUCAAAGCAGGCUUAUGCCAUGAAUACGUUAGCAUGGAAUAAUGAGAUAGGAUUUCGGUACUAUUUUGUUGGUUUGUGUACGGAAAUAAUGAUUAACAGGAACAGUGUUGUGGGUAUUCGUAUUUCGUUGUCAGAGGUGAAAUUCUUGGAUUUACGAAAGACGAACGACUGCGAAAGCAUUUACCAAGGAUGUUUUCA
rnacentral:rRNA from 1 species